rnacentral:pre_miRNA from 14 species
UUUAUAUGAAGAAUAUUGUGAGCAGUGCUUUACGUAGUAUAGUGCUUUUCACAUUACACAAAAAGUGAAAGGUGCCAUACUAUGUACAGGAAGGCUUACCAUGUUCCUCAAUUCUUGU